AUGAAAACUCGGAUGCUUUCUCUUCUCUGCUGACGGAGAGUUCGCGUCUUGGGUGGGUUUGCUUUGAAGAGAAAAAUUGCAGGACAGUGAUUGGAAGAAGAAUUCAGUGUUCAGCACAAGCACCACCUCCAGCUUGGCUAGGAAGUGCUUUUCCGGAGCCGGGCCAGAGGACUUGAGAUGGUCCAAAAGCCUAGUUCUGUUGUUGGAUCUACUGGUUCCAUUGGAACCCAGACAUUGGACAUUGUUGCAGAGAACCCGAAAAAAUUCAGAGUUGUGGCCCUAGUAGCUGGCUCAAAUGUGUAUCUUCUUGUUGAUCAGGUAAUCCAUCAGAUGGAUAAAAUUUCAUAGAAUUGUUCAUAUUGUCAUCUGAUCAGUGAGGGAUUCAAAGAAUAAAGCUGGUCAAGGAGGCCGUGGGGGUGGAAGUGGAUAUGGAUAUGGGCGAGGCCGUGGCGGUGGUAGAUACAAUUGUGAUUCAGCCAAUAAUGAAAACAACAGUGGGUACAAUCGUGAAUCAGCCCCUGCUGGUCAGGGUGCUUUUAAGGAUGCACCUCCUAAACGGCGUUUCUCUGGUGGGGAUGGUGAUGGAAGGCCA